CCUACGGGAGGCAGCAGUAGGGAAUCUUUCACAAUGGGCGAAAGCCUGAUGGAGCAACGCCGCGUGCAGGAUGAAGGCCUUCGGGUUGUAAACUGCUUUUAUAAGCGAGAAAUAUGAUGUUAACUUAUAAUUAGGAAUCGCCUAACUCCGUCCCAGCAGCCGCGGUCAUACGUAGGAUCCGAGAAUUAUCCGGAGUGACUGGGUGUAAAGAGUUGAGUAGUUGGCAUAAUAAGUAGCUAGUGAAAUCUGGUGGCUCAACCAUUCAGACUAUUAGCUAAACUGUUAAGCUCGAGACCGUUAGGGGUAACUGGAAUUUCUAGUGUAGGAGUGAAAUCCGUAGAUAUUAGAAGGAACACCAAUAGCGUAGGCAGGUUGCUGGGACGGUUCUGACACUAAGGCACGAAAGCGUAGGGAGCAAACGGGAUUAGAUACCCGAGUAGUC
rnacentral:rRNA from 1 species